rnacentral:rRNA from 1 species
UACGGGGGGCGCGAGCGUUGUUCGGAAUCACUGGGCGUAAAGGGCGCGUAGGCGGCUGGGUAAGUCAGAGGUGAAAUGCCAGGGCUCAACCUUGGAAUUGCCUUUGAUACUGCCUGACUAGAGGACGGAAGAGGAUAGUGGAAUUCCUGGUGUAGCGGUGAAAUGCGUAGAUAUCAGGAAGAACACCGGUGGCGAAGGCGGCUAUCUGGUCCGUUACUGACGCUGAGGCGCGAAAGCCAGGGGAGCAAACGGG